GCCGAGCGCGGUGGCCCGUGCCUGUAGUUCCAGCUACUCCUGAGGCUGGGGCUGGAGGAUCGCUUGAGCCCAGGAGUUCUGGGCUGUAGUGCGCUAUGUCUGUAGGGUGUCCGCGCUAAGUUUGGCAUCAAUAUGGUGACCUCCCGGGAGCGGGGGACCACCAGGUUGCCUAAGGAUGGGUGAACCAGCCCAGGUCGGAAACAGAGCAGGUCAAAACUCCCGUGCUGAUCAGUAGUGGCAUCACACCUGUGAAUAGCCACUGCACUCCAGGGCAACAUAGUGAGACCCCAUGUCUU
ensembl:misc_RNA Metazoa_SRP Metazoan signal recognition particle RNA